GGAAGGGCCGUAGCUCAAUGGCAAAGCAUCCGCUUUGCAUGCAAAAGAUCCCAGGUUCAAUCCCCAGCCUCUCUA